GAUGAAGAACGUAGCGAAAUGCGAUACGUAAUGUGAAUUGCAGAAUUCAGUGAAUCAUCGAAUCUUUGAACGCACAUUGCGCCCGCCAGUAUUCUGGCGGGCAUGCCUGUUCGAGCGUCAUUUCAACCCUCAAGACCCCUUCGGGGGACUUGGUGUUGGGGACCGGCACAGGGGCCUGCCUGCUUGUCUUGCAGCGCCCUCGCCGCCCCCGAAAUGAAUUGGCGGCCUCGUCGCGGCCUCCCCUGCGUAGUAGCACAACCUCGCAACGGGAACGUGACGGCGGCCACUGCCGUAAAACAACCCCAAUUUUAUUAGAGUUGACCUCGAAUCAGGUAGGAAUACCCGCUGAACUUAAGCAUAUCAAUAAGCGGAGGA
rnacentral:misc_RNA from 1 species